GCCCGGCAAGGAGAAGAAAAAGAAGGGUGGGGGGAGAGAAAGCGACGGAGUGAGGAAGCCGGUCGGAUGGCGGGAUGCAAGGGAAGAAACGGAGAAGCAGGUCGGGCAGAGGGCUGGAAGAGACAGAGACUGAAGGCUGGCAUUCCGCUCGCCCGCCCCGCUCCUCUCUCGCUAUGCAUGCUCGCCACUCACCUCGGGGCUGAAGGUGGAGGUGGAGGAGCCGGCGUGCGGGAGGGCGCCCAGGGCCACGGUGAGGGGCAGCAGACGAAGGAGUGCGGGCCACGGACACAUCUUGCCUUUUUCCCCCGCGGAGCGUGGCUCUCUGUGGCACUUCCACUCGCUCAAAGCUCCUUCUCUUGCUCUCUCUUCCCCCCCUUUGCUAUCCCCUUGUGCGAAAAGUUGCUGGUGUCGAGUUUCCUUCCCCGCCCCUCCCUCUCCCUCUCCCCCUCCUUGCCCAGCGCUUCCCCACCCACCCCCUUUCUCCCUCUCUCUCGCUCCCUCCUUCCGCCCCGUCUCUUCCCCUCGCCCAAACUGGAGACGUGGUCGGGCGCGGGGCCUGGCUCCAAUUAGAGGCUUGCAGGGAUGAAGGAGAGCGAGACUCCCCUCGUCCGAGGGGGAGAAGGCCGGGCUCCUCCUGGUUCAGAAGCGGAGAGGAGUGGGGCAGACAGACAUCUGGUUAUGUGGGGAAGCCCCGGACUCUACUGGAUCCCGUGGAUGCGCUUACUAGGGAUUAAACCCUACUGGAUUCAAUGGUGCUGACGGUGGCGUGCAGUUCUUCCCCACCUCCCAUCCUCACAACAAGCCUGCAAGGGAGGUUAGGCUGAGAGGCAGUGAUGGACCCAUAGUCACCUAGUGAGAUUCAUGGCUAAGUGGGAAUUUCGAACCCUGGUCGCCCAGGUCCAACUCCAACACGCGAACCACUGUGCCACCAUUGGCUCACUCUGUUAUUCUCUCUCCUGCUUAAAUUACUGCUGCUGCCUUUGUUAUGCCAUUACGAUGUGUGGCAAACUUAUAUUAUUAUUAUUAUUAAUCAUCA